AUGUGCGCGCUCGUGCAGCUCCUCUGGCUGCUGCUCUGGGCCACGGUCAUGGGCGCGCUCGUGCAGCUGCUCUUCGCGCGCCUCGGGGUCGUCACCGGGAAGCACCUCGCCGAGCUCUGCCGGGAGGAGUACCCGCCCUGGGCCACACGCGCGCUCUGGGUCGUGACGGAGCUCGCGCUCGUCGGCGCCGACAUACAGGAGGUCAUCGGCAGCGCGAUUGCCAUCAAGAUCCUCUCCGGGGGCAUCGUGCCGCUCUGGGGCGGCGUCGUCAUCACCGCCUUCGAUCUCGUCCAGGCCGACGCCGUGUCUGCCUUCCGCUCGCUUUGA
rnacentral:rRNA from 1 species